rnacentral:lncRNA from 1 species
GUCGUACAGGAAAGGGCAGGGGCGACUCCCCACUCUUCAAAACCCUAGAACUUCACUAAUCUUGCAAAUUGAAGGUCCAAUUCAGUCCAAAAUCGAAAUUUAAGCAUGGAUUAUUAAUCCUCAUCACAAGAGGAUUAAAAGUUUGAUCUCGUCAAGCUAAGUGGGAGCUGGAAAGGAAUGGAUCAAACGGAUCAUGGAUGCGAAGAAUGUUUGCGCGGACGCGAGGGUAAAACGGCUUAUGGAAUUUACGUGGCUAUGAAUCAGCAAAUUAUUAAGGCAAGGUAUUAAAACGGGUCAAUACUUUGACCCGCGCCAGGUACGCGUAAAUUUGGUGAAAGAUAUGUGAAUACCUUAAUGUAGAAAAAUGACAUGUGAAAGUAGAGAGUAGGAUUUAAACUUAAAUGAUUAAAUCCUCUCUAACGGGUCAAAAUAAGAACUUGAACGUAAAUGGGUUCUAACAAAGUAAGAAACCCAUGAUUUAUGAUUUAUUUGAUAGGAAAUAUUGAAAUUAUGAUUUUCAUGAGUUUAUAGAGCAAGUAAACAUGUUUGUUUGAUAAAAUCGCGAACGGGUUAAAAUUUGGUAAAAAUGGUAAUAAGCCGAAGACUUAAAGGUCUUAAAUUUUGUUAAUUCGGAUGUUGGAUUUUGACUCCAUAUUAUGAAGGGUCAAAUUACAAUCAUGUAGGAAGAAACGGUGGGUCAAACGGAUAAGCGGUUUGAAAGAUACGAAAGUUUUCGUGCCAAUAAACGGCAAAAUAGGAAAGCUGGAAUGCAGGGGCCACCGUAAGUUACGGUGUCACCGUAAGUUACGAUGGAGUUGAAGGCUUUACGGCAGCCCCCUACUGAUUUACGGUAGGGGCAUGUCACACCAGGGGCCACCGUAACUUACGGUGCCACCGUAAGUUACGGUGGAGGCCAGUUGGGAAAUCCAUGUUUUGAGAUCAAGAGUUUAACGUUGGGAAUUCUUUUUCCUUCCAUUACCAUUACCGGAUUUGUUUAGAUUUAUUUCAAUCCACGUAUGACUAAAGCAUUUCAUGUUUAUGAAAUGUAGGUUCAUUUUGGAUGCCGAGAGACGAUCAAGCUCAUCGAAGAACCGAACACGAUAUAGUUACAUGCUUCCGCACUUUGCCACGUUGUAUAUUUUAAACAACGAAUUCGAUCACGUUUUGUAGAAUAACUUAUGAAUUGUAAAAGUUUUAAUU